AUUGAACGCUGGCGGCAUGCUUUACACAUGCAAGUCGAACGGCAGCGCGGGCUUCGGCCUGGCGGCGAGUGGCGAACGGGUGAGUAAUGCAUCGGAACGUGCCCAGUAGUGGGGGAUAGCCCGGCGAAAGCCGGAUUAAUACCGCAUACGACCUGAGGGUGAAAGCGGGGGACCGAAAGGCCUCGCGCUAUUGGAGCGGCCGAUGUCGGAUUAGCUAGUUGGUGGGUAAAGGCUUACCAAGGCGACGAUCCGUAGCUGGUCUGAGAGGACGACCAGCCACACUGGGACUGAGACACGGCCCAGACUCCUACGGGAGGCAGCAGUGGGGAAUUUUGGACAAUGGGGGCAACCCUGAUCCAGCCAUGCCGCGUGCGGGAAGAAGGCCUUCGGGUUGUAAACCGCUUUUGUUCGGGAAGAAAUCCUCUGGGCUAAUACCCCGGGGGGAUGACGGUACCGGAAGAAUAAGCACCGGCUAACUACGUG
rnacentral:rRNA from 1 species